rnacentral:rRNA from 1 species
AUGCAUAAGCUCGUAAAUGUUCAUUAUUUGGACAAGACGACAUUUAUGCUUGGAAUUGAUGAUGAAAGGGAAGAGGCUAUGAUUUUUGACACAAGUCCAAGCUUUGAUGAUCUUGUAGUUAAAGUGAGAAGCGUCUUACAUUGGAAUGACCCAAAUUCCGAGGUUAAGCUUAUUGGGAGGUAUGACGUUGGAUUGGGAGUAAAGUCCCGAUUAAAGAGUAUGCCCAGCACCUCCCAAUUGCAUUGGAAUGUGCACAAGGACAAAGUAGACGCAUCACAAGACAAGUCUCUUGAGGUAUUUGCCACAAAGGUUGAUCCUCCUCCUCCCUUGCAAAUUGAUUUGAACCGCAAUGUAUCCUCCCCAAUACAUGAUGAUAGUGCCGAGGUGUAUAUCCCCAAUUGUUCUAGCCAACCACCAAGUAGCCAACCCAAUGAAGAUCAUAUCAAUGCUAGCGCCAUAGUACUCCGAGUUGACGCUAUUCCUCUUGGUCAAGAAGAUGCUAGUGGUCAUGUUGAUGAUGAUGCUAUUGUUGCUCAAGAGGAUGCUUACGUGGAGAAUGAAGAGAUUCAUUACAAUCCCAUUGGUAACUUGGAUGUCAUUGUGCGACAACAAUACAUGGACUGUACCCUCCCUUAUAUCCGUAUGUGUGGGUAUGACUCAGAUGACGAUCAUCCGGAGGAAGAAUUGGAUGAGGAUGGUUGA